rnacentral:rRNA from 1 species
GACGAACGCUGGCGGCGCGCUUAACACAUGCAAGUCGAACGGAAAGGCCUGCUUUCCCUUGUGGAUUGCGGGUACUCGAGUGGCGAACGGGUGAGUAACACGUGAGUGAUCUGCCCCCAACUUGGGUAUAAGCCUGGGAAACUGGGUCUAAUUCCCGAUAGGACUGCAGGGUGGUGCCUGUGGUGGAAAACGAUUUUCUAGUGGUUGGGGAUGAGCUCGCGGCCUAUCAGCUUGUUGGUGGGGUAAUGGCCUACCAAGGCGGCGACGGGUAGCCGGCCUGGGAGGGGGGACGGCCACAUUGGGACUGGGAUGCGGCCCAGACUCCUACGGGAGGCAGCAGUGGGGAAUAUUGCACAAUGGGCGGAAGCCUGAUGCAGCGACGCCGCGUGGGGGAUGACGGCCUUCGGGUUGUAAACUCCUUUCGACCGCGAGGAAGCCACCUGGUUGGAAGGGUGGUGACGGUAGUGGUAGAAGAAGCACCGGCUAACUACGUG